UACGUAGGGGGCUAGCGUUGUCCGGAAUCAUUGGGCGUAAAGAGCGUGUAGGCGGCCCGGUAAGUCCGCUGUGAAAGUCGGGGGCUCAACCCUCGAAUGCCGGUGGAUACUGUCGGGCUAGAGUGCGGAAGAGGCGAGUGGAAUUCCUGGUGUAGCGGUGAAAUGCGCAGAUAUCAGGAAGAACACCCGUGGCGAAAGCGGCUCUCUGGAACGGUACUGACGCUGAGACGCGAAAGCGUGGGGAGCGAACAGG
rnacentral:rRNA from 1 species